UCAGUUCGGACUGUAGGCUGCAACUCGCCUACACGAAGUCGGAAUCGCUAGUAAUCGCAGAUCAGCAUGCCGCGGUGAAUACGUUCCCGGGCCUUGUACACACCGCCCGUCACACCAUGGGAGUUUGUAACGCCCAAAGUCGGUGGCCUAACCUUUAUGGAGGGAGCCGCCUAAGGCGGGACAGAUGACUGGGGUGAAGUCGUAACAAGGUAAC
rnacentral:rRNA from 1 species